AGCCACUCCCACCAGCUAUAAAAUUUCACAAAUCCACAAAACAAACAAGUUGCCAUUCUGCAAAACCCUCAUACCUAUGGAAUCCUCAUUUCCUGCGAGGUGUGGAUUUCAGCUAUUUUUAACCUGGAUGUGUUCUGUGAUAUGUUUCCCACACAGCACAGAAACUGGCACAGCUGAGGGGCAGGAAAGAGCAUAGCUUUAAUUCCUGUUGGCUCAGUCACAUUUGCUCAACAUGACUGAAAACCCCCUUCACCUCUAGAAAUGCAAAAGUGAAUGUGGAUCUACAUUGGAAUCUUCUGCCCUUGUAGCCGGGAGCCAGGAGGGCUGGCGCUCGGGACACCUCCUCCUGGUGCGCUGCCAAGGACGGUGGCCGUGUCCUGCGGCCAGGGCGGUGGCCCCGGGCACUCGGCAUCCGUCCUGCGGCUCGCCGACCCUCCCCUCGAGACCUACUUCUGCCGGGACAGGCAAGGUAACUCGCUCUGAAAAUAGCUGGGACGGCGGCCAGCCGAGAUUAAUGCCUUCAUUAACGUCCCCGGUUUAUUUAUAGGCUUAAAAAUGCCUUGGACCUGCAAACUGAGCACAGUUGCUCCGUGGAAGGCAGGGAAUCACAGGUCUCCUGCUUCUGCCUUUCCCCUUCCUGCUAUUUCAUUCUGAUUGCUGGGACUGUAAAACCUCUGGAGCAGGCACUGUUUCCCAUUGUGAAGCUACUUUGUAAACCUUCCUAACUGAAGGGACACACACAGAUACUCUUUUUCAUUCUUUCUUUUUUUUUUUUGUCCCAAGAAUGAUGUAUUUGUCUGGUCUCCUUCCUCUACCAACUUCUUUUUGUGUGCACACUGUGUCCUGUAGCCCUCUUGGAGAAAAUUCUCUUUUUGAUGAAUUCCUGAGGCAAGGACUGAGCAGCCAUCACAGGAAUUAGUGAUUUCCUACCUUGGGUUUUAAACUGUGAGCUCUGUGGAAGGAAGACUGAGAUUCUCAUGGCUGUGGAGAGCAUGGAGAGCACUUAGGACAUGUAGAGCCCUAGUGAGAAAUGCAGAUGCAAUUAGUGAUCGUGCAGGUCUUCCAACAAAAGCAGCAGAGCUAGCCCAGGACCCAGGUCCUCCAGGAGCCUCAUGGGACUGGUGAGAAAAGAAAAAACCAUCCCAAGUGUGUUGGCCCCAGAAGAGGAGAUUUUGGCUUGUAACCUGUGGCCAUACUGCCUGGCCUGUUUCCCAGAGGUCAAUGAAAGGCUGGCAGCUUCGAAAAAAAUCACAGCUCCAUUGUGCUCCAAAGUCAUACUGAAUGAUUCAGAUGGAAAGAAAAACCCACGUCAGAAGGAACAGGGGACUCAAAGACCAGUGUCGAGGCCAGCAGACCAGGGACAUCUAUCCCACGCAGCAGACACCCUGAGAAUGUUGUACCCUGGGACAGCAGCGACAUUGUGGUUUACCCCUCUGUGGAAGACAAGUGCUGCUCCCGGUAUUGGGGUGUCCCUGAGCACCUCUGGCCCCACGGGACUGGCAUCGAUUGCCUGGGGGUGCUGGGGCAGCAGGAAAACCAUGCUGUCCUACCUGGAGGAUGCUGAUCCAGCUCCCAGCAGCUGGGGGAGAUGAACGCACUCCUUGCUCCUGGAGCAGGGCUGCCAGCAGUGGGUCAGGCAGGGCCGGAGAAGGGACAGGGUCACCGGCGGCAGAGGCAGGCAGGCAGAGCCCGGGGGCUCCUGGGCGGAAGCAGAGCAUGCAGUGAUGGAGACAGCGUUGCCAUCACCGAACAUCUGGUGCGAAGGCUCCCCAAAAAUAGAUCGCUUCCUUCUUCCACCUCAAAGGAAACUCUGUUGGAAGGAAACUCAGAUACAGCAGGGCUGGUGCGAGGUGGGGUCUCGUUCACUGUCAGCCUCCCACCGGGAGCCACUUAAACAUUCCGGGGUGUGACUCUGGGACCAGACAUUAAUCUCAGGCAGGUUCUAAGGGAUCAGUCCUGGGAAACGCCCCGACAACCCACGUGGGUGCCGAGCCUCCCAGCGCCCCGGAGCAGAAACCCACCAGCCCUUUCCAUCGAUGUCUGGAAUUGCCAGCCCAAUCCCUCUCUUCCCAAAAGCCGCGCCGGUGCCAAGGGGCUCAGGCUGUGAUCAGCCCUCACCUGCAUUUUCCCAUGCCAGUUUUACAUCACAGUGCUGCUUCACAGCAUCUUCCUUAUUGGCAGGCGUCAGGAGAAAUGUGUGUCAACAAAUCUGAAGCGAGCGUAAGCGCCGCUACAGUCAAGUCUGAUAAUAAAACAUGAGUCACUGUUAUUCAAUCAUUUACCAGCGCACGUCUUGCAAGAAAGUUCUCUCUUCUAAGAAUCACCACCACAGAAAUUUGGGAGUUGUUUUAAAGAGCACCCUGAUUUUACUUUCAGCUGCGUGGCUGAAUUUUCAGAGGGCUGGUUCCUGCUAUCCCUACUUGCAGCCCACCGCCCCGUGCUCCCUCUGCAUCUGCGUUUCAAAGCCAGGCAUGACCCGAUGCUCUUCCCAGGAGUUUUCACACUCACUGUCUCCCCAACACCAGGAGUGAACUGGCAGCAAGGAGAGGGCUGCUGGGACUGACCCCCCCAGUUGCCAUCAAUGCCCCCCACACCAUCUGUAGUGUUGCUGCACAGUGUUCCAGGGAUGCACAAUUUUCCCUGGGGACGGGAUGAGGAAGAGCAUGGUCAACCCCAGCAUUUUGGCCAGGAAGACUUCUUCCCAUAAAAAUAUUAUUUUCAUUGUUUUCCUUUAUUUCAGUUUGGGAAGGAGCAGGAGGGGUCAGGAAUGUCAUCCCAGACAUUUCUUCAAAACUGUUUUUAUCCUUGGUAACAAAUGCCCCUGCCAAACACAGCAGCACACGUCCUCGGUUUCCCCUCCAUAAGCCUGAUUUUUUGAAUGGCUUCUUGGAAAAAGCAUUUACAUGGUGACCUCUUGCUGCUGUAAGAUGUGCAGGGAGAUGGGUCCUUUCCAGGCAUUCAAGCUGCAGUGCUUGGUCCUUCCUGUUUUUACUGAGGAACUUUUGGGAGGUCAGAAAUACAUGAAUUGAGCUUUUGCUGCCUUAAUAGGUGAAAGGCUGCUGGAAGCACGUGGAUAAACUUCCUCUGUGCCAAAUGACCGUCAUUUAAGUCAAACACUUUUUAACAAUAGAGGCAAAAUUUUAAAAGGUGUAGUUUAAAAAAAACCCCACAUUUGCCUGUCUGUCCUCCUUGCUCUGUGCUGCUCUGCCUCUUGCUGCCUAGCUUGAUCUCGAGCACUCCUGCUGCAGGGAAGGAGCUUCUGAUGUGGCAAGCAGGUAGACUAAGCUAAUUUAUCACUCUAGUCUUUUAUUCCAUCACAGAGUGGCAAAAGGGAAGGCUCGUCUCUCUUGUGGGUCACCUCUAAUAGCAAUUGCUUCAGCAAGAUGGAUUUCAAAAUUAGGUGCUCUUGAAGCAGAAGCCACACUGUAUUUUUCAACAGCACAAAGCAGCUGAAAGAGGAAUCUGACCUUCAUUCUUCAUAAUAAAUUCACUGGGGAAAAAAAAAAUCCAUCUUUGUUUUUCAGUUUGAAGUACUGUCAAAAGAAAAGCCAGGGCACACACAACAUUUACAAAAUAAAAAUACAAGACAAUUUCAGCAAAAUUAUAAAAAACUCAGGGAUUUACUUUUCCUGCUUCUUCUUAUUUAAACAUAGAAUAGAGUCUGACAGCUUGCCUGCAAGUACAUUGUUUUGAAAUAAAGGCUGGUGUUAAUUUAAAGUGGAUCUAUACUAAGCUAAAUUAAGGCCACCUCAAAGUGCUUUUCAGAUGUAGAGCGCAAUCCAGUAGCUAAGUCUGGGGAAAAGUUUAUUGAUACACACCCACAUUUAGGCACUCCAUUGGACUUAGCAUGUUUGUAAAAUGUCUCUGAAUGUAUUUCAGGUGCUAAAAUAAUGUCUGCUGCAGCCUGCCAAAGGAAAAUGUCACAGUUAUUUUCUGCUAAAGUGCCCCAAAAAGAUGUGAUCUGCAGACAAGUACAGGCUCGUAAGCUAAAGAAUAUAAUGGAGGAAUGCUUGAAAAUAUUUGGCAUUUUACAGUGAUUAAUAAAAUGAUUGGUACAUUUGAGUCCUAAAAGCCUGUAGCUGGUCAGCUGUCACUCGCACAGCCUGGAAAUGGUGAAAAUUAAUCAUCAAAAUUAAACACUACCUUUGUAUUUUGCCAUGUCUCCAUUACAGACUCUGUAUUGAAUAACUCAUUAUAACCCAACGCAGCACAUUGCCUUUAUUCCUUUAAUCUCCUGUCAGGCAUAGCUGGGAAGGCAGAAUGGGAAUGUUUAUUCUAACCAGCAGGUCUGACCCUUAGGCUAGUGAGAAUUAGGAGAGGUUUUUUCCAAGCUCGGCUUGUCCCCCAUCCAGAUAACCUAAUGCUGUGGCAUUGUGCAAUCCACCUGGCUCCUCUUCUGGAGGAAUCACUCAAAUCCAUCUUCCCACUUUCCAGCAAGCCUAGAUCCAGCUGUUUCUCAGCCUUUUCUUUCCAGGAUGGGCUGGUUACACUGAUAAAAGCAGCUGUAAAGAGGCUGUGUCAGCAGUGUCCUAAUUAAGCUGCAGAAAUCAGCCACUUCACACCCCUUAGUUCAGGUUUCCAGGGGCCCGUUUGCCUGGACAGAAACAUUUUGUUAAAUAAGCUCAGCUUUUUGCUAGAGCUGGUGAGAUCACUGAAGGCUUGGCAGGAGGGAUGAACGCUGUCCAUACAUUUAGUUAAACCAGCUUAAAAUUACAGAGCAUAUCUAGCAUAUCUAAGUGGCUCCUUUCAGGACCAACUCAAAUAAACAAACAUAAACAUCAGUCUGGCUUCAUUUGGCAUUCAAGGUAUCGUAACUCCCACAUAUUAACAUUCAAGUUCUCUCCAGACCAAUCAAUAUUUGUUGUUGUUUAGAAAAGGAAAAGCUUUUUCUUGACCUCUGCAACAAGCAUUUACAUGAAGGUUAAAGCCGAGAAUGUUUUUGAUAGUGAUGUCAAGGCUGUCAGCCCCCUGUGGGGAACCACCACCUGAACAGUCGCAAUUUCACCGCUCAUUAUCCCUCUUCUACAGCAGGCACCCACUUUUAAAGAUCAAGGGGAGGCAGGUUCAAGCUGAAGUGCCAUCAGUGACUGACCUCCGACCAAGUAAUCCAGGAGUGGCCAAGUCUGACCGAUCGGUGAGGAGGCUCAGACACUUUUGACCAAGAGGAUUUAUUCAACCACUGGAGCUUGCAGGGGAGCACAGCUGCGGAACAGGAAGGUCCUUUCCAGUAACAACCCUCAGCAGCUCUUCCUUAAAAAGGGCAAUUAAUCUCCCUAUGGCAUUCCUCUUCAGCGAAGAACACUUCCACUGUUUCAGAACAGUUUUACAGCAGACACAAGCAAAGACUUCAGUCCCAAUAUCCACGUGCUGGCUCAGCUGAAUUACAGGCACCUAGCGAGUGCUCCUGAGAAAACCAUGGCCACUCUGGAGACCUGGGGAAGCUUUGGGGCAUCUCCCACCCAACACUGGCCUCUGCAGUGAGAUACAGGGGGCUCCCUUCCUCAGCAAGCAGCACUGAUAAUUACAUUACCUACCCUCUUUGGCCUGGAGCACACUGUGUUACCCACGUGCUGAAGGCAAGGCAAAGGCCAGGCCUGGCUGCCAGGCAAGCGCUCACUACUCCUUUUUAAGUUCAGCUGAAUCCUCUCGGUUACUUCUGUCAACAUCAAGCACCGAGAACAAAGGCACAAGAUUAGGGGGAUCUCAUUAAGUAUGCUUGUUCCAAGAACAAGAAAUGUGUCUACUUUCCUCUGAUGACCUGGGGAAACAAAAAAACCCUUCAGCAAAGAAAAUUUAUUUGUCAUCGGUUAAGAGCAUUUGAAUGUGUAAUAUCCAGUUUAAGGAGACAAAGAAAGUCUGUCUGUCCUACCCUUUCUGUAUCAAGACCUUGCAAACAGCAUCAUUCUUCUGCUUGGAACAGAAAGCAGGGAUGUACACAUCUGAGAACACCAACACACACAAAAAGCCCCAAAUCCUUAGGGUAUUAAGUGAGCCAUUUAACUAAGUAUUUAAAACCUCUGCAAUUAUUAGUUUAUUAGUAUCAUCCAGGAUUUCAGAUGUUCAAUAUUUCUCCUGAAGUUAUACAUAAAUGCAAAUUGAAAUAAGAAUCUGAAAGUCAAAAUUGUAUAACAAAACAAUACUCCAUCACAAAAGCGUGUAAAAUUACAAGAAUGCUUUUUUUUGUUUGUUUUUAAACACUGGCACUUAAGAGAACCAUAAUUUUGCAACCACAAAAUUGCCGAAUUGUCCCCCAGACUGGUAAGCAGGUAUAUGUGAAAAUAGUUACAGCUGCCAGCACUUGAAGUUUUACUAAAUAUGCAAAAAACCCCUUAGCUUUGGUUUUGGAAGAGAACUGUAUUUGACCAAAUUAGACAUUGUUGGUAUACCAUAAACAUUUAACUUUUUAAUGCAAAAUUUAAUAAAAUGUACUUUUCCAUACAACUAUAUUUAACUUAAAAAUGGGCAAACAUCAAGAGUGCGGUAUAAAACCUAACAGGAAAAAUACAUCUUAUCUCAUUUUCAAUUUGAGACAAUAUACAACUUUGUUUAAAGGGCUAAAACUAGAAUUUCAAGAAUACAAAUAUGAAUUUACAUAGAUUUAACAAAUAAUAAUGGUACCAUUUAUAGAAAUCUUAGAAAGAAAAAUCAUUUCUUGUGGGCCCUUUGCUACCAGGAGUCUCAUGGUAUAAAGCCCAUGGCCAUCACCAGACCUGUCACCAAAAAAUAAUAUGGUCAUUUCAUGCUUUUAACUUUACACAUUUUAGGUACGCUCAUCACUCCCAGGUGUUCAGAGAUUUACAAAUAUAACUUCCAUUACAUGGUAACAGAGUCACACGUGUAAAUUUCUCUACACCAGAUGGACAUACACUCUUCCUAUGGGUCCUUCUAGGACAAAAUUUAACAUUCCCUCCCUCCCCACCCCCCAAAGUAUUUAGUUUCUGUAAAAUUGAACUCUAUACUUCUCAACUCUCCAAGACUGGUAAACUCAUGCAACGCAAUAGAAUAUUACAUUUCACAAAAAUCUGAACAAGUAUCCGGAGUUUGCUGAGAUUGAAUUUUUGUUGUUUCCAGUUAUGGAAGAUUUUCAUCAUAUGCCUAUAUAUUUCUUUUCUUACCCUAUCAUGAUAAUGCAGGGUAUGCAGAUCAAAGCUUUGUUUAUCAGCUGGUUAUAUGAAAGAUGAAAACUGUAAUAUUCCCGUGAUCCCAUACGGGCAUUCAAUAAAGCAAAAGAUGAGUUCCCCUCAAAAAAAAAAAAAAAAAAA